AUGGUGUCUUAAAUAUUGUUCAUGGCACCAAUGAUAUUGUCAAUGCUAUUUGUGAUGAUGAUGAUAUUAAAGCUAUUUCAUUUGUUGGUCCGAACUCAGCUGGUGCAUAUGUGUAUGCAAGGGCAUCAGCUAAAGGAAAACGCAUCCAGUCCAAUAUUGGAGCAAAAAAUCAUGCAGUUGUCAUGCCUGAUGCAAAUGUGGAUGCUACCUUACAUGCUCUAGUUGCUGCUGGCUUUGGUGGUGCGGGACAAAAAUGCAUGGCCCUGAGCACAGUUGUCUUUGUUGGAGGCCUAAGUCCAUGGGAGGAGAAACUGAUAGAGCGUGCGAAAGCACUUUAUGUAACUGCUGGGACAGAACCUGAUGCAGAUAUUGGUCCAGUUAUUAGCAAGCAGGCAAAAGAACAAAUAUGCAUGUUAAUUCAAACAAGCAUUGACAGUGGUGCAAAACUAGUUCUUGAUGGAAGAAACAUUGUGGUUCCUGGCUAUGAAAAUGGGAACUUCAUGGGUCCUACUAUCUUAUCUGAUGUCACAGUCAACAUGGAAUGUUAUAAGGAGGAAAUCUUUGGCCCUGUUCUUCUUUGUAUGCAGGCUGAUACCAUUGAAGAGGCCAUAAAUAUUGUUAAUGGAAAUAAAUACAGCAAUGGAGCUUCUAUAUUUACUACAUCUGGUGUAACUGCAAGGAAAUUUCAAACAGAGAUUGAGGUUGGGCAGGUUGGCAUUAAUGUUCCUAUCUCAGUACCACUGCCAUUCUCUUCAUUUAUUAGCUCCAAGCCAUCCUUUGCUGGAGAUGUCAACUUUGAUGGAAAAGCUGGAAUUCAGUUUUACACCCAAGUUAAAACCGUAACUCAACAAUGGAAAGAUAUACUAAGUGAAGAUGUGUCAGCUGUAGCAUUGCCAAGCUCUUAGAGAUCAUGCUAUAGAGAGAUAUCUGUCUUCAAAUAGAGUGGUUAGCCUGAGCACAAUAUAAUAGGCAAAAAUUGGUUGAUGAUUCUCCUUUUCUGUUGCUUCGGACUACAGGAAAUCAUGCUCAUUGUUCAUAUUAGUUUCCUCUUUUGGCUUAGUCGCUCACUCUUCUUUUUGUGGGUGCGCAAACGCACUUGCGCAUGUGCAUGCAUAUGCUGUGUUGCUUCCUUUCAUUUAUGGGUUGGAUGGGGAGAUGGAUCAGCUUCAAUGGGGUGGAUAUAAAAUAAAUGAAAUGCAAACCUGAUCACAUGCGGUGGUCUUGGUGAUUCUGUUUCUUGUGAGAUGUGUGUGGGUUU
rnacentral:misc_RNA from 1 species